UACAUUUAUUGUGUGACAUUUCCUAGAGA
rnacentral:piRNA from 1 species